rnacentral:rRNA from 1 species
AUGAACGCUAGCUACAGGCUUAACACAUGCAAGUCGAGGGGCAGCAUGAACUUAGCUUGCUAAGUUUGAUGGCGACCGGCGCACGGGUGAGUAACACGUAUCCAACCUGCCGAUGACUCGGGGAUAGCCUUUCGAAAGAAAGAUUAAUACCCGAUGGCAUAGUUCUUCCGCAUGGUAGAACUAUUAAAGAAUUUCGGUCAUCGAUGGGGAUGCGUUCCAUUAGGUUGUUGGCGGGGUAACGGCCCACCAAGCCUUCGAUGGAUAGGGGUUCUGAGAGGAAGGUCCCCCACAUUGGAACUGAGACACGGUCCAAACUCCUACGGGAGGCAGCAGUGAGGAAUAUUGGUCAAUGGACGAGAGUCUGAACCAGCCAAGUAGCGUGAAGGAUGACUGCCCUAUGGGUUGUAAACUUCUUUUAUACGGGAAUAAAGUGAGGCACGUGUGCCUUUUUGUAUGUACCGUAUGAAUAAGGAUCGGCUAACUCCGUGCCAGCAGCCGCGGUAAUACGGAGGAUCCGAGCGUUAUCCGGAUUUAUUGGGUUUAAAGGGAGCGUAGGCGGACGCUUAAGUCAGUUGUGAAAGUUUGCGGCUCAACCGUAAAAUUGCAGUUGAUACUGGGUGUCUUGAGUACAGUAGAGGCAGGCGGAAUUCGUGGUGUAGCGGUGAAAUGCUUAGAUAUCACGAAGAACUCCGAUUGCGAAGGCAGCUUGCUGGACUGUAACUGACGCUGAUGCUCGAAAGUGUGGGUAUCAAACAGGAUUAGAUACCCUGGUAGUCCACACAGUAAACGAUGAAUACUCGCUGUUUGCGAUAUACAGUAAGCGGCCAAGCGAAAGCGUUAAGUAUUCCACCUGGGGAGUACGCCGGCAACGGUGAAACUCAAAGGAAUUGACGGGGGCCCGCACAAGCAGUGGAGUAUGUGGUUUAAUUCGAAGCAACGCGAAGAACCUUACCAGGGCUUGACAUACAGAUGAAUAUACUAGAGAUAGUAUAGCUCUUCGGAGCAUCUGUACAGGUGGUGCAUGGUUGUCGUCAGCUCGUGUCGUGAGAUGUUAGGUUAAGUCCUGCAACGAGCGCAACCCCUGUGAUUAGUUGCCAACAGGUAAAGCUGGGAACUCUAAUCAGACUGCCGGUGAUAAAUCGGAGGAAGGUGGGGAUGACGUCAAAUCAUCAUGCCCUUUAUGUCCUGGGCUACACACGUACUACAAUGGCUGUAACAGAGAGAAGCAAAACAGUGAUGUUGAGCAAAACUUUAAAAAGCAGUCUCAGUUCGGAUUGAAGGCUGAAAUUCGCCUUCAUGAAGCCGGAAUUGCUAGUAAUGGCAGGUCAGCAUACUGCCGUGAAUACGUUCCCGGGCCUUGUACACACCGCCCGUCACACCAUGAGAGUUGGGGAUACCCGAAGCCUGUGAGCCAACUAUUUACUUAGAGGCAGCAGUCGAAGGUAGAAUCAAUGAUUGGGGUG